AGGACCACACUGUGGUCACUACAGACUCACAGAGUCAGAUUUUGAUCCUUUUCUCUUUCCCUAACAUGGGAGUUGUAAUCACAAUGAAGAGAGAUAGCUCUCUUCCCUGAGCGUGAACGACUGAGAUGACCUUAACUUAGUUCAAGAUCUUUGUCAUUGAUGAUCGUUCACUCUUUGUACUCAGUGCAGAGAGGAUAGGAAGCAGGGCUUUCUGAGUGAU
rfam:Cerapachys biroi unplaced genomic scaffold scaffold260, whole genome shotgun sequence.